rnacentral:ncRNA from 1 species
UAUAAUUCUCAGGGCGGGGUGUAAUUCCCCACCGGCGGUAAUAAUAAGGUAUAAGAUUCAUUAAGAUGCAAUCGUAAUCCUAUUUCAGCCCGCGAGCGCCUAAGCUAUCUAUUAUUAAUACAGUUAUUUGAUUGAUAAAAUAACCUGAUUUAAUAAAGUCAUCGCUUAGGGUCAGCAGAUCUGGUGAAUGCUAUGCCUCAUAGCCUAGUCCAGAGCCGACGGUAAUGAACAUAUUCAUCGAGUAUGUCGAAGUCCGGAUGAGAGAGAAUGUAA